CACCUCAUCAAUUGGAACGAAUUCCUUCUGAUCAAUGAGGUGUACCGUGUAACAGACUCAUCAAAUGGAAGGAAUCCCUUCCAGUUGAUGAGGUU
rnacentral:miRNA from 1 species